rnacentral:sRNA from 1 species
ACCACCGUCCUGCGACUGUUUAUAGUCAGUGUGUGGGAGCUGAACCUUGCAUCAUUUGCUUAAUGGGUUUCUUCCCCUUCCCCUGGAAACAGGAAAAAGAAUGUUAGCUUUCUCCAGGAGCCUUCAGCAACAAGGCUCAAAUCAUUUUCCCAGCCUAGCCCAGCAAACAAAGAUGCUUACAUUCUCCCCGGCACUGCAAACAGCUUUUCAGUGGCAGCUGGUCCUAGGAUUAGGCUCCCCUCCCCCUGCCCUGGUCCCAGUGCAGAUCCACAGAUCUCCAGGUUCAUUCCCUCCCUGUACACAGGCUCUUUGUAAACGGAAAGAAGAAUCUGCAAAACAAACAAACAAACAAACAAAAACCCAUGACCUUCAUCCGUGGGAACCAGGUUUUAGGGAGAAAGCCUGAACUUCCAGAUGGGGACAAUGAUGAUGAUGUCAUAGCAGACAUAAGUAACAGGAAGAUGGCGAAACUCUACAUGGGGCAGCUGGGGCCAUUUCUGAGUGGAUGAAGAGUGGUAACUGUAUUCCUACAAUUACCAUGGUCCCCCAUCACAUUAACCUGAUUGUGGAAACAUGUCUGGUCUACUCUGCUUAAUCAUAUCAACAUACCAAAGAAGGAUCGUCCGUACAUGAGCUUCUGGAUGUACACAGGAGGAAAUUGCACAAGCACAGCAUGGGGCCAUGGGAUAGCCACAUCGUCAGAAAGACCUGGCUGAGCAGUGACACCAUGAAUAAGACUCUCACACUGAAGAGCUGUAAGCGGACCUUUAGCUGUGCCCAAGGCUCUCAGACGGUGAGAAGUGAGGCUUUAAAUCUACUGUUUUGCUUGGAGUCAAAGCCGUGUUUACUACCUUGGUGGAUGUUGACAUCGCUGGGAAGCUAUGGGGCAAACCUACACCUGGAUUAGAGACGGAAAGGGAUUAAAGCACUGACCUCAGACCUGAGCAAAAGUUUAUUCGAACCUUAGAUCUUUUGAAAAUGCAAUCAAGUGUCUGUCCAGCCCUUGGACCCGGCUGGGGCACAUAGAGGCCUCUUGGUGCUGACUCAGGGUUUUCUCCCUCAUGGAGGAACACUUGCAGGGUGAGGACAGUGCCUCUGACUCGACAUCUGGAAGGGUUUCUUCAUUUAAACACAAUCAGGCCGGUUCUGUUUGAUUUUAGUAAUUUUUCUUUUAUCUAUUUAAAAACAAUCAAGUUAACCCACAGUUUAUCUUGAAGUUUCCAAUCUCCUUCAUGGAAGUGAGUCUUUCCACACAGGACACUUCUGCAGUUUUUUUCAAAUUCAGCUUAAGUUUUCAUUAAUAUUUACAUUUUAAGUAUUUUAUAAUUUAACAGAUAGCUCAGUGGUAUGGCUCACAAUUCAAAGAUACAUCCUGAUCUAAUGUAGAGAGUGUCUUUCCCACUCUUGUCUCCAAGCUCCACUCUUCUCUCACUCAGAGAAAAACAAUGAUUUCUAGAAUCUUGUAUUUUUUCCAGAGAUAUUUUAAGUGCCAUAUAUACGAGAAAAAUUCCUGUAUCAGUUUACUACUGCCUCCUUUAAAUAAACAGUGUCAUAUAUUGUGUUCUGAGAGCACAUACAUGCACACAUAUAUAUGACUUUUUUUUCCCUAUUUUAAAAUAAGGGCACUAGAAGCACAAGGCAGUGUAAAGCGCUUAGGAAAAUGUUCUCCCCAUAGAGACAUCUAUAAACUGAUCAAAAUUAGUGAAAUCGAAUCAGUAGAACUCUCUAGAGAUUGAUCAAAGUGCUCGAAGCAGAUGGGGAGCAGCACACUUCCUCAGCAGAAACAGAGGUGGUGGGAGGCUGCUGCACAGAGCUCUGUGCCAGGGAGAUGCUGGAGCUGAGCAAGUGAGCGGGGAUGGGUGGGCCCCACAUCCCCCAGCUCCCUGCUGCAGAAGCCUGACAGGAUAUAAGGAGUACACACCAGUGCUGGCCCACGAGUGUUGGUGACCAGUUCUCAGAGCUCAUUUUAGUGACUCAACAGAGAAGGGAUGUAAUGAGGAUGAUGCCAAGCACACCCCUCAUUCCCUCACAGCAGACUGUGUGGAGGACCUGCUCAGACACACCACACAUCUCUAACAGAUUCCUGAAGUGGAAGCCCUGUUCCAGGUAGACUUGACAACCAGUCUGUGGUGGAUAUGCUUGGUCCAUAGGAAGUGGCUCCGUUGGAGGAAGUGUGUCACUGUGUGUGUGUGUGUGUGUGUGUGUGUGUGUGUGUGUGUGUGUGUGUGUUGAGGGGUGUGAGCUGGGCUGCACUUUGAUAGCCUCCUCCUAGCUGCUUGCAAGACAGUCUUCUCCUAGCACUGCCUUCAGAC